rnacentral:rRNA from 1 species
AUUGGAUCCAGACUUUGAUCAUGGCUCAGGAUGAACGCUAGCUACAGGCUUAACACAUGCAAGUCGAGGGGCAGCAUGACGAUAGCUUGCUUCCGAUAGGCGUCGACCGGCGCACGGGUGAGUAACGCGUAUCCAACCUGCCCAUCACUUGGGGAUAACCUUGCGAAAGUAAGACUAAUACCCAAUGACGUCUCUAGAAGACAUCUGAAGGAGAUUAAAGAUUUAUCGGUGAUGGAUGGGGAUGCGUCUGAUUAGCUUGUUGGCGGGGUAACGGCCCACCAAGGCGACGAUCAGUAGGGGUUCUGAGAGGAAGGUCCCCCACAUUGGAACUGAGACACGGUCCAAACUCCUACGGGAGGCAGCAGUGAGGAAUAUUGGUCAAUGGACGAGAGUCUGAACCAGCCAAGUAGCGUGCAGGAUGACGGCCCUAUGGGUUGUAAACUGCUUUUAUAAGGGAAUAAAGUGAGCUACGUGUAGCUUUUUGCAUGUACCUUAUGAAUAAGGACCGGCUAAUUCCGUGCCAGCAGCCGCGGUAAUACGGAAGGUCCGGGCGUUAUCCGGAUUUAUUGGGUUUAAAGGGAGCGUAGGCCGGAGAUUAAGCGUGUUGUGAAAUGUAGAUGCUCAACAUCUGCACUGCAGCGCGAACUGGUUUCCUUGAGUACGCACAAAGUGGGCGGAAUUCGUGGUGUAGCGGUGAAAUGCUUAGAUAUCACGAAGAACUCCGAUUGCGAAGGCAGCUCACUGGAGCGCAACUGACGCUGAAGCUCGAAAGUGCGGGUAUCGAACAGGAUUAGAUACCCUGGUAGUCCGCACGGUAAACGAUGGAUGCCCGCUGUUGGUCUGAAUAGGUCAGCGGCCAAGCGAAAGCAUUAAGCAUCCCACCUGGGGAGUACGCCGGCAACGGUGCAACUCAAAUGAAUUGACGGA